rnacentral:rRNA from 1 species
UACGUAGGGGGCUAGCGUUGUCCGGAAUCAUUGGGCGUAAAGCGUGCGCAGGCGGCGCGUUAAGACAGGUGUGAAGGCCCCGAGCUUAACUUGGGAAUUGCGCUUGUGACUGGCGUGCUGGAGUGUGGCAGAGGGAGGUGGAAUUCCACGUGUAGCAGUGAAAUGCGUAGAGAUGUGGAGGAACACCGAUGGCGAAGGCAGCCUCCUGGGCCAGCACUGACGCUCAUGCACGAAAGCGUGGGGAGCAAACAGG